GUCUCGGUGUUGUUGGUCUGUCUUGGGUACCUUUAUUUUUUAUUUUUCCGAUUGUGUUGUUGUGGUUUCUCUUUCUUCUGAGUAUUUCUGGUGCUCUUUGUUUUCCUUUUCUUGUGUGAUUGGUUGUUCGUUUUCUAUGUUGUAGUUGGGUUGGUUUUUCUUAUUUUUUAUUUAGUAGUAACUUCAAUUAUAAUAGCUAAAAGUGAUGGUUGUCGACAGAUGUUUAUCAUAGCGGAAACUAUGAUAGUCAGA
rnacentral:lncRNA from 1 species